AUGUGGGGCCGCAUGUGGAGCUCCGGCCGCAGCUCCAGUGGCAGCUCCAGCGGGGGCGGCGACCCCGAGCGCGAGCGACGUGUCCGCUCAGAUGGCGUGAGGAAGCGUGCAGCGAGGAAGUGGACGAACAAGGGCCUCGAGCCGCCGGUGAGGCUCCUUUGUCGCGAGACGGAGGAGUACGACCAUCGGCACGGGCGUACGCCCUCCUCGGCCGCGGGCUCUUCGUCUUCCGACGCGGCGCUUCUCCCCGUGAAGAGGGAGUGGUCGAAGGAGCCGGAGGACCGCGAGCUCGUCGCCGUCAAGCAGGAGCCGGAGGAGAUCGAGCGCCGAGGUGUCGUCGGGCCCGAAGAUUUCGUGGCCGAUGUCGACGUGGUCGCGACCACCAUUGCCGAAUGGAGCUUGCGCGAGGAGGCGGAGCACCGGUGCCAUGAUGAGGAGCUUGAAGACCUCAUGCUCAAGCAGGCGGUCGCGGCGAACCUUGCCGCGAAGAAGAAGGACGACGAGUGGCGGCGCAUCCGCAAGGAGCAGAGGCAGAAGUUCAUCAAUCUCGUCAGCUUCGACGAGGAGGACUGA
rnacentral:rRNA from 1 species